rnacentral:rRNA from 1 species
GGCAGGCCUAACACAUGCAAGUCGAGCGGUAGAGAGAAGCUUGCUUCUCUUGAGAGCGGCGGACGGGUGAGUUAAUGCCUAGGAAUCUGCCUGGUAGUGGGGGAUAACGUUCGGAAACGAACGCUAAUACCGCAUACGUCCUACGGGAGAAAGCAGGGGACCUUCGGGCCUUGCGCUAUCAGAUGAGCCUAGGUCGGAUUAGCUAGUUGGUGAGGUAAUGGCUCACCAAGGCGACGAUCCGUAACUGGUCUGAGAGGAUGAUCAGUCACACUGGAACUGAGACACGGUCCAGACUCCUACGGGAGGCAGCAGUGGGGAAUAUUGGACAAUGGGCGAAAGCCUGAUCCAGCCAUGCCGCGUGUGUGAAGAAGGUCUUCGGAUUGUAAAGCACUUUAAGUUGGGAGGAAGGGCAGUUACCUAAUACGUGAUUGUUUUGACGUUACCGACAGAAUAAGCACCGGCUAACUCUGUGCCAGCAGCCGCGGUAAUACAGAGGGUGCAAGCGUUAAUCGGAAUUACUGGGCGUAAAGCGCGCGUAGGUGGUUUGUUAAGUUGGAUGUGAAAUCCCCGGGCUCAACCUGGGAACUGCAUUCAAAACUGACUGACUAGAGUAUGGUAGAGGGUGGUGGAAUUUCCUGUGUAGCGGUGAAAUGCGUAGAUAUAGGAAGGAACACCAGUGGCGAAGGCGACCACCUGGACUAAUACUGACACUGAGGUGCGAAAGCGUGGGGAGCAAACAGGAUUAGAUACCCUGGUAGUCCACGCCGUAAACGAUGUCAACUAGCCGUUGGAAGCUUGAGCUUUAGUGGCGCAGCUAACGCAUUAAGUUGACCGCCUGGGGAGUACGCCGCAAGUUAAAACUCAAUGAAUUGACGGGGCCCGCCAAGCGGGGAGCUGUGUUUAUUCGAAGCACCGGAAGACUUACCGGCCUGCCUCCAAGAAUUUCCAGAAAUGAUGGGCCUUCGGAAAUUGAGAAGGUUGCUGC